AGGAGGAAGUGUGAGGAGGAGGAGGAGGUGAGUGUGGUCAGGUGGAGGCCGCAGUGAGGAGGCGCUGGCCUCCCUCCUCCCUCUCUCCCAGGCUGCAGUGCGCAGGAGGAGGAGGUGUAGUAGUAGCAGCACUCAGGCCGCCGCUCUCCUCCUCGCCAUGUUGCAGUGACUCGGACCUCCAGCAGCCUCCACUCUCCGUCUAUGCGGCCCGAACCUCGCUCUGGAGCUGUCACCGAACCAGGCGGUGAGUACGCGGCGCGCACAGCAGGCGAACCCGGGGAUCGGGGGGGACGACUAGGCCGCGGUGGGCCCGGCUCAUCAGGGGAGGAGGAUCCGGCUGGUGGUAGGUGCCUAUGUGGAAUGAACGUUCCAUGCGCCAUAGGCAUGAAUGAAGUGGCGUGGCAAGAGACCAGAGGAAUAAUGCAUGCCAGCAAUGGGCAGGAGGCAUUGGGGGUUGGGAUCCCCUCUGGAGGAGCAACAUCAGGGCCCAUUGGAAAUAACCCACAUGCCAUUCCUCCGGGGGCCACUGGUGCCCAGGUGCCUCUGAGCGGCCGCUCUCAGGAUGAUGCCACGGUGGGAUAUUUCUUCCAGAGGCAAGCUGGAGAACAGGUGAACGGCUACACAAAUAAACACCGCUGGCCGACAGGGGAUAGCGUGGAAGCUUCAGUGAGGUCUGCGGAUGACAUGAAUCAUGACUUCCAGGCGCUCGCUUUAGAAUCUCGAGGAAUGGGAGAGCUCCUACCGGCCAAAAAGUUUUGGGAACCUGAAGAUCCAGCCAAAGAUGGACAGAAAGGGAUGUUCCUUCCAGGCGAAUGGCGGGAGAAUACAUGGGGAGCAUCUCACCAUUCCAUGUCACAGCCGAUCAUGGUGCAGAGGAGACCCGGACAAGGCUUUCAGGGAAAUCAUGAGGUCAACUCUGUGCUGUCUCCACGCUCAGAAAGUGGCGGUCUGGGAGUGAGCAUGGUGGAGUAUGUCCUCAGCUCGUCGCCAGCUGAUAAACUCGACCCAAGAUUCCCGAGGAAAGGAGCCUAUGGUGCUAGAGACUGCGAUUUAGAUGGACCAGAGAAGGCAGAACAGAAAGGCAAAGCUUCUCCAUUUGAAGAAGAAAAGAAACGCGACCUGAUGUCCGCCGAUGGGGAUGAAGUCUCUAAAUUAAAUGGCCGAGGACUUCCCAAUGGAAUCGAUGCAGACUGCAAAGAAUUUAACCGCACUCCAGGAAGUCGCCAAGCUUCUCCGACAGAAAUAGCAGAUAGAAUUGUCCAGAACCAAAAUGUGACAGAGGGGUUAGGUCAGCUCUCCAAUCCUAUGGUCAACAAGCCCCUCACAGAUGAGUUUGCAGGUCCUGAAGGACAGAACCUGGAUGGCAUAGAACAAGUUGGACUGGAUUCACUGCAAUUUGACUACCCAGGGAACCCACUACCAAUGGACUCUGCAGGAGGGGGUGUCGGGCUGUUUGACUACAACACCCAGCAGCAGCUCUUCCAGAGGUCAAAUGCAUUAACAGUGCAGCAACUAAAUGCAGCUCAGCAACAGCAGCAACAACAGUAUGCAUUGGCGGCAGCACAACAACAACACCUUGCAGGUGUGUUCUCUGCAGGUCUGGCCCCUGCUGCCUUUGUGUCAAACCCUUACAUCAUUAGCACCGCUCACCCUGGCACGGAUCCAUACACGGCUGCUGGUCUCGCUGCUGCUGCAACGUUAGGACCUGCAGUUGUACCCCCACAAUAUUAUGGUGUACCCUGGGGAGUGUAUCCAGCUGGAUUGUUCCAGCAGCAAGCUGCCGCCGCCGCUGCCGCCUCUGCCGCUAACAACAAUAACCAGCAGGCAGCGACACAAGCAUCACAGGGCCAGCAACAGAUAAUGCGGGCUGCAGCCAACCAACGUCCACUCACUCCCAGCCAAGGACAGCAAGGACAACAGAAUGACUCCCUCGCAGCUGCAAAUUCAGCCCUUGCAUUCGGACAAGGUCUGGCUACAAGCAUGUCAGGCUACCAGGUUCUUGCUCCCACUGCCUAUUAUGACCAGAAUGGUGCCUUGGUGGUUGGUCCUGGAGCAAGAGCGGGGCUUGCUGCCCAAGUGCGAUUAGUGGCGUCCACACCGGUCCUCAUCAGUCCCGCAGCUGCACAAGCGGCUGCUGCCGCAUCUGCCUCUGGUGCCAACAACCUUUCAGCAGCCACAAACGGCAUCUUCCGACAACUGGCCCCUCAGCAGCAACAACCACAGCAGCAGCAGUCCCAGCCUAAUGCCAACCUCCAUUCCAGCUCAUUUUACGGGAAUAACUCCUUGACAAACAGCUCUCAGAGCAGUUCUCUGUUCUCACAUGGGCCAGGACAACCUGGAAAUACAUCUCUUGGGUUUGGAAGCAGCAACUCUCUCGGCGCAGCAAUUGGUUCGGCCUUUGGAGGCUUUGGAUCAUCAGUUGGGAAUUCGGCAGGUGGUAGUGGCUCCAGAAGAGAUUCUCUUUCUGCUAGUUCUGACUUAUACAAAAGGUCUGGCAGCAGCUUGGCACCCAUAGGUCAACCCUUUUACAAUAGCCUGGGAUUCUCCUCAUCUCCGAGCCCAAUAGGCAUGCCUCUUCCAAGCCAAACGCCCAGCCAUUCACUAACACCGCCGCCGUCACUUCCAUCACAUGGAUCAUCAUCCAGUUUGCAUUUAGGAGGGCUGACAAAUGGCAGUGGGCGGUAUAUUUCCGCUGCCCCUGGAGCAGAGGCCAAAUAUCGCAACGCCGCCAGUGGAUCCAGUUUCUUUAGUUCCAGUAGCCAGCUCUUCCCACCUUCUCGCCUACGAUAUAACAGAUCUGACAUAAUGCCCUCCGGACGCAGCAGAUUAUUGGAAGAUUUCCGCAACAACCGAUUUCCAAACUUGCAGCUCAGGGAUCUUAUUGGUCACAUUGUUGAGUUCUCCCAGGACCAGCAUGGUUCCAGGUUUAUCCAGCAGAAGCUAGAACGGGCCACUCCAGCAGAGCGUCAAGUGGUUUUCAGUGAGAUCCUGCAAGCCGCUUAUCAGCUGAUGACAGAUGUCUUUGGAAACUAUGUUAUUCAAAAGUUUUUCGAAUUUGGCAGUAUGGAUCAGAAACUGGCGUUGGCAACACGUAUUCGCGGACAUGUACUUCCAUUGGCUUUACAGAUGUACGGAUGUCGAGUAAUUCAGAAGGCUCUUGAAUCCAUAUCUCCAGAUCAGCAGAGUGAAAUGGUGAAGGAGCUGGACGGACAUGUUCUGAAGUGUGUGAAGGAUCAGAAUGGAAACCACGUGGUUCAGAAAUGUAUUGAAUGUGUCCAGCCACAGUCCCUCCAGUUCAUUAUAGAUGCCUUUAAAGGACAGGUGUAUGUUCUUUCCACUCAUCCUUAUGGCUGCAGAGUCAUACAGCGCAUUCUGGAGCACUGUACAGUCGAGCAGACUAUGCCCAUUCUGGAGGAAUUACAUCAGAGCACAGAACAGCUGGUGCAGGUAACACUCAUUGAUCAGUAUGGAAAUUAUGUCAUCCAGCAUGUUCUAGAACAUGGUCGAUCAGAGGACAAAAGCAAAAUUGUGUCUGAAAUUAGAGGAAAAGUCUUGGCGUUGAGUCAGCACAAGUUUGCCAGUAAUGUUGUAGAGAAAUGUGUCAGUCACUCAUCCCGUGCAGAGAGAGCGCUAUUGAUUGAUGAGGUGUGCUGCCAGAAUGAUGGUCCUCACAGUGCCUUAUACACCAUGAUGAAGGACCAGUAUGCAAACUACGUGGUGCAGAAGAUGAUUGAUAUGGCAGAGCCAGCUCAGCGCAAAAUCAUCAUGCAUAAGAUCCGACCACACAUUACAACAUUGCGUAAAUACACCUAUGGGAAGCACAUACUGGCCAAGCUGGAGAAAUACUACAUGAAGACUAGCAGCGACCUGGGGCCGAUGGUUGGACCAUCGAACGGCAUGCUGUAGAGAAAGCCAGUAAUUGAGAACACACCUGUCAUGAACGAGGAACCUUCCGACCCUCCUUCCCUUCGCUAUUUCUUACCUUAGCUGAUGUGUACCACACUAUUUAUUGUGAUCCCUUUCUGACUACCUUUUUUUGGGGCUUCCCUCCAGCCACCGUGGGAGACUUACCCAGCCGCCUAGCUAGUACAAAACCAGAGCCUGUAAAUGAUGUAAUUGUAUCAAGCUGUCACAUAUUUUGUAAAUUUUUACCUUGUAAAGUUCCUGUAAAAAGUGGUAGUUUUUAAAGGGAAAGUACAGUAUUUUAAUAAUGCUGGUUUGCCGGUCGGGUCAGUCUCCCAUCAGCUCGGAGGGUUAAUCUGUAAAUAGAGAUGUCAUCUUAUUUUGUGACAUAUUAUCCUUUAUCCCUUUUAAACUUAUCCUCCCCCUUGCCCCUUCCUCCUUAAACAAGUAUCUUUCCACAGACAUAUAGGACCGUGGCUUCAAUUCUCCUACAUACAGUUAAGCUCCUGUUUAUCAGCAGUCCUGAUAUCUCGUAUGCAUUUCCAGGCGGAGUAACAGAAAAACAAACAAUGGAGUUCAAUGCAGACAGUCGCCCUCAUUUACUUAAACUGUCUAAUUCUUAGACAUUUUAAAUAAUAUUAAUAAAUUUGGCACAUUCUUAGGGUAUGUUCACACGAGAGAAUGUCCGUGCGGACAUUCCCCUGACAGUGGAGUAGCGGCAGAACAUGCUGGCACUAGGACCGCUCGGAAAUGCACCAUCUCAUUGACGGCAAUGCAUUUCUGUGUGGACUCCGCACGUGGACAUGUCUAUUCUUCCUGCGGACACCAGAACUUGAACAUGCUGGGAGUUGUAGUUUUGCAGCAGCUGGGGGUACCCUUUUUGGGAAAUGCUGCCUUUGACUGUCUAGUCUAUGUUUAGGACAACUGUUAGCUUAAACAUGCAACAGAAUUCUGGCCCAAUGUCACAUCUUAAAGCCGCACUUUUUACUGUGGCUUACAUUUUUAUAAAGUGGCAUAGGUCAUGCAAGACAGUUUUUUUUGUGCACAUAAAACCUGAAUCCUGGCACAGUUUCAGUAGGCACCAGCAAUCCAUCAGAGAUCCAUCGGUGUGGGAAGUGCAUUACGAAAACACAUGGUCCAAACCCAGACAACCCUAAUAAGAAUGUUUAUGCAUAAAAGGGGUACUGUCUAAGAUUAGACUAAAAGAGUGGUGUUUUAUGGAAAUUCCUGGACUACUCCUUCCAGGAUCUUCUGAGGGGCAGCAGCCUCAGUUACUACACAAACGUCCAUCCGUCCAACUGCAGUGACCUCCAAAAUAGUGGCGAUUAGUAGGUUACCUGUCUAGGAAUGGCUGCUCAAGUCCUCAAAAUAUCCUCUUGGACUGUGUAUGUAGGAAUUGGAUGCAACCAAAACUUUAUGCAAUCAUUGAUCUGCAACCUACUUCUCUUCAGCCAUGCUAAACUACAAGGACAUGCUAGGAGUUGUAGUCUGCUGAUUGAGCACCGUUGUUUUUAGACCGGAAUGAAAUGUAGCCAAGCGAAGUUAAAGGAGUAAUCCAGUUUAGAAAAAAUGCAUCCCCUAUCCCAGUCUUUCCCAACCAGUUUGCCUCCAGCUGUUGCAAAACUCCAAUUCCCAGCAUGCCCGGACAGCCUUCGGCUGUCCGGGCAUGCUGGGAGUUGGAGUUUUGCAACAGUUGGAGGCACACUGGUUGGGAAAGACUGCCCUAUCCAAAGGAUAGGGGCUAAGUAUAAUAUUGCAGGGGGUCCGAAUGCUUGUCGACACGCAGCCUGCAUGCAUCUCUAUGGCAAAACCGGAGAUACAGUGCUUUGGCGUGCCCAUAGAGAUGCAUGGAGGGCAGGUGCGGACCCCCCAGGCCGUGCUCUAGGAGUGCUGGAGUGCCAUACAGAAGAUCUCGGGGGGGUUGCAGUGGUCGGACCCACUGUGAUCUGACACUCAUCCCAUAUUCUUUGGAUAGGGGAUACAUUUCUCUAAACUGGAUAACCCCUUUAAGGUCCAGCAAUACAAGUAUUGCUUUAGCUCACUUUACUGCCUGCUGGAAAGACGUGUGUGUGUGUGUGUAUACACAACAGCUGUAAUUUUUGUUUUUCCCCUUUUCUUCUUACAUUUCUUUUAUUUUCUUAUUAAUUUGAAAACAAGUGAUAGCUGAUGUAUAGCACUGGCUAUUUUCAGUUUUUCCUCAUGUUAUUUAUGCACCAUCUGAGAGGCUUAUAGUAAUGAAGGCCUAUUAACUAUUUCGUUUUCCCUUGUAUUCACUGAAAAAAGGGACCUGGUGCAAAAAUCAUGCAGUUAGCAUGCAACAUAGGCUUCCAUGCGUUCCUUUGUUAAAUGCAACCCCUGGGGGAGGCUCAAUAAAAUUCUGUCCAGAGCCUUCUGAAUCCACAGAUAAAAUAUAGGAGUCGAAAAAAAAGAAGACGACUCCAUUUUGUUUCCUGUUUAGCACCUACUGAAGCACUGACGACGAAUCAUUGCUUAGCUCUGCAGUGGUAGUUUUUUUUUGUUUUGUUUUUUUUUUGUUUUUUUAUAUGUACACAGUGGUGUGAUUUAUUUUUAUUUUAAUAAUUUUUUUUUUUUUUGUUCUGCUGUCAUAACUAGCCAAAUCGUAUAGAUUUAGAUAGUGGAUAAAAGUCCUUUUCGCGCAUGGUAAAAAAUAGAUAAAAAAAAAAUAUAUAAAUAUAUAUAUAUAUAUAUUCGAAUGGCUUUCUGUUUGUAAUUUUUCCUUUUUGGGUCCUAUAUAAAUAUCUGCUUUGUAUUGUAUAAGUGUAACUAAAUGAGUAGUUGACCGUUUACAGUCUUUGUUUAAUACGAGCCUUGCUUAUUUUGUAGUUGGUUGUACAGAUUGUACAUUUGUAAACCUUUUUUGCUGUAUAUGUUACUUCGUUUUCACCCCUUCAUCUGGGAAGGGGCAGAAACUUUUUUGCAUUUUAGUGUACAUUUGGGUGUCUCUAUAUUGCCUUGGCAAAUAGUGUUGUAUAAUGUAAAUUUCUUUGAAAAUCAAGUUUUUGGUUUUGUUUUGUUUUUUUAACCAGUCUUUCUACAGCUCGGUAAAAAAAGUCUAUAUAAAUAUAUAAAUACCAGCUUCUCUAUUUAUCUAGCGCUGGAGAACCCGUUCUUGUUUCUACACCGCGGCUCUAACAUGUUGAUAGGAAUCAAUGCAGUACAUUGUGCUUAGUGAGUAGAAAUGAUAUAUAUAUGUCCAUGUAUAUAAGUUCUGUUCACAGGGGAGAGCCGCACGAGUAAGAAGACCAGUGGCUUGCUUUGUAUAGUACUGUAUUUUUCAUUAGCCUGCUCAAAGCCAAGAGGAGAAAAAAAAAACUUAUGUAAAUUAUUGUCAAUUUUGGUGAACAUACAACAUUGUAUCAAUAAUCUAUAGAUGAUGUACAUUUACAAGCGGCCUUAUGUACAUUUUCCAAUGAUCUUUUUAAAAGGCAAAAUUGUGACCACAUGUGUAUAAUUAAAAGACUUUUUAA